ensembl:snRNA U6 U6 spliceosomal RNA
GUACUGGGAUUAUGGGCGUGAGCCACCACACACCGCCUAGCAUAUAUGUUAAUAUUGGAUGAUACAAAGUAGAUUAGCAUGCCUCCUGUGAAAGGAUGACAUGCUGAAAUGGAAAUUCGUGCUCCAUAUUUUU